rnacentral:rRNA from 1 species
CCUACGGGUGGCAGCAGUGAGGAAUAUUGGUCAAUGGACGAGAGUCUGAACCAGCCAAGUAGCGUGAAGGAUGACUGCCCUAUGGGUUGUAAACUUCUUUUAUAUGGGAAUAAAAUGUUCCACGUGUGGGAUUUUGUAUGUACCAUAUGAAUAAGGAUCGGCUAACUCCGUGCCAGCAGCCGCGGUAAUACGGAGGAUCCGAGCGUUAUCCGGAUUUAUUGGGUUUAAAGGGAGCGUAGGUGGAUUGUUAAGUCAGUUGUGAAAGUUUGCGGCUCAACCGUAAAAUUGCAGUUGAAACUGGCAGUCUUGAGUACAGUAGAGGUGGGCGGAAUUCGUGGUGUAGCGGUGAAAUGCUUAGAUAUCAUGAAGAACUCCGAUUGCGAAGGCAGUUCACUGGACUGCAACUGACACUGAGGCUCGAAAGUGUGGGUAUCAAACAGGAUUAGAUACCCUAGUAGUC